ensembl:lncRNA
CCAACCCUCCGGCACGUGACUCGCAGAUCUUCUCACUUAAACUGGCGACUAACCUGCCGCCCCGUAGCUGUGGGGCCCACCGGCCGGAGACCAAACCGGGCUCUCCGCGGGAGGCUCCUCCCCUAUGCGGUGGGGGCGGAGCAUCAGGGCUGCCCAGCCGACGGAGGGUGGAGGGCAGAGGGGCGGAGGGCCUGACAGGGAAACACUUGGUGCAGUGGGCGGGCUUGGGCGCCCUGACGCCCAGCCGCACUUUUCCGGGUGGUCGGUGCUCCUGGCUCCCUGUCGGUCACAGGAAGCUUGCGCAGAGCAGCGUGCUCGUGUGGGGCAGGGCUGCCCCCUGGUCUAAGGAAAGAGCAUCCUUCUAGAGCCUCUCUUACUAAGGGAGAGCAUGGUCAGCGCCUGGAUGCUCUGAGCGUGUAACGGGGAAAACUAGUUUAGAUUGCGGGUCUGAAAGCCUCUUCAUGGCUUUGAUAGUUGAAGGGGAUGGGGUAAGUGGCGGGUAGCUCCUCAUUCAAGGGAUAGGAGAGAGAGAUGGGAGGGAAGAAGAGAGAAGCACAGAUGACGCCCUAGAUGUCCGUUCUCAACAAGCAGAUACAUUUUGACACCAUUCUCUUAAGUUAUGAAGUGGCUUGCGACGUUUGGCAGGAAGUAGGGAAGGUCAAGAAUUGGGUUUUGGGCACGUGAAUCUGAAGAGAAAUGAUAGUUACACAGAUGGAUAUAUGGGCAUCCCUGGUGGCUCAGACGUUAAAGAAUCUGCCCUGCAAUGCAGGACACCCAGUUUCGAUCCUUGGAGGGGUUAAGAUCCCUUGGAGAAGGAAAUGACAGCCCACUCCAGUAUUCUUGCCUAGAGAAUCCCUUGGACGGAGGAGCCUGGCAGGCUAUACAGUCCAUGGGGUUGCACAGAGUCUGACACAACUGAGCUACUAACACAUAUAUAGGUCUGAAGCUCAUCAGAAGAGUGACAAAACUGGAGACAGAAAUUGGGAGUUAUUGAAAUACAGAUGGUAUUUGAAGCCAUGGAAUUGGGUGGGAUCACCUAAGACAAGACCAGGAGCUGACUGUGGCUCAGAUCAUGAACUCCUUAUGCCAAAUUCAGACUUAAAUUGACGAAAGUAGGGAAAACUACUAGACCAUUCAGAUGCUGCCCCAUCAAUCAACAAAACAGCUGUCAUCAGAGUCCCAGAGUCCUCCAUGUCACUAUGUUAGUGAAUAUUUGUGAAGGAACCAGAGAUCAAAUUGCCAACAGCCGCUGGAUCAUCAAAAAAGCAAGAAAGUUCCAGAAAAACAUCUAUUUCUGCUUUAUUAACUAU